UAAAACAGAAACCCUCACGACUCAAGGGGAAUUCUAGAUUGCUUUCUUCUUUUCCUCAUGCCUCUUCACUUCUCGCUUUACAGGAGGUCCAGGAGAUGGGAGAUCCCGUGUGCUACGGACGAGCAGUUGCUGUGUGGACAUGCAAGGGAAAUCUCCAUGUCAGUCCAUGUGGUGUACAUCUGAGAGAAAAUCUGAAAGGCCACAAAUCUGAAUGUCUAACAUGACCAAAGCUCACCACAGGUAGAUUUUAGCCUCUGACCUCCCAGCCCAUCCCACCAACCCUCCACCAGAGUGAAGCCAGAGUGACCUGCAGAGUUCCACAGGAAAUCCCAGCGGUAACCAAGGUGAGCAGAAGGACACGUGAUACUCAGGGAGAUGGCACAGACAGGCAGGUGGGGUUCUAGAAUCCAGUUAGACUGGUCAGGAAGAGUCAUGGUUGUCUUUAGGAGGUGGGCAGGAUGGCUCACAGGUAGGAAUGGGGUGACUGACAGGAGGGGAAUAGUAUAACUCAUAGGACAGGAAUGGGGUGGCCCACACAUGGAUCAGCUUUGCUCUGUUGGGAGCAAAACCCUUAGCUCUGCAGAAGCCCAUCUACAUUUCCCCCUUGAGUCUGUCUUUAGGAUCAAGGGAGGACUUGCCCCUCCUGCCUAACAGGGACCCUGUUUCACCAUCCCUAGUUUCUCCCUCCAUGAUCCUGGGCUCUCAGAAAGUGGGCUCAGUGAUCCAAGGCAAAAAAAGGCUUUUGCUCAGGGUAUUUUCAGGAUCCAAAGGACUGUGGGGGCCACUUCCCCUGAUAGGGUUCAAUUCCAUGAAGCUUAGCAACAUAGUCUUUCACCACCUACUAAGUCUAGAGUUCGCAGGCAGGAUGAAGUCUAGAGUCCUAGGUCCAGGUACUACCACUAGGCUCCUUGGGCCCACUGGCAGAGAAAUGAGGCUUCACAGUCUCACAUGGUUUUCUUUCUGGAAAUCACCCAGUUGCAGAGCUCCAGAGUUGGGAGGGCUUUUAGAGACUCUAGAGUUCAUAAGUACACUUUCACACCUCAACACUUCAGAAAUCAGGAUCUGCCUCUCCACCGGCAGCCCUAACUUUCUGUUGCCCAGGUGGCUGCCCCAAAAUUAAUAUUGCUUCCUGCACCUGUCACCACUCCUCGCUUGACUGGAGGACUUCAGUCCCUCAAUGGUUCCAUUAACAAACCACUGAAGGACCAUCUGACGACGAAGAAAUGAGUCCUGGAUGGUGUCUGAAACAUUCUGGUGACACCUUCUGGUAAGAUUGAGAAAGUACUAGCAUCAAACCUUGCAGAAUGGGGAUCAGCGGCAUGGGAGAGUAUCCAGAAAGACAUAGGGGGCUGCUGUAUUGAGAAAUGCCACAUUAUCCAUUCUCCUGAUGGCACAGAGGAUGGUAUCAUGUGGAAAAACGUGGAUGUUGAUGACUAGAGUCAGAAAGUGAACCUGUACGCCUGUUCUUUGCGUCAAACGAAAUCAAAUCCUUUAUAUUUGCUUUUGAUUAUCUUCUAAUUACACUAAUAAUACAUGAACACAUUCUGUUACUUAAAACAAUGAAACCUACAGAUGCCACAGAAUUCCUCCUGCAUGGCCACUCACUCCCUGAUACCAAGCCUGAGGUCUUCCCUGAAGAUGAUGUUGUAACUAGUGUGUGUAUCCCUGCUGACAGGUUUUUUUUUCUUAAUUUGCUUUUGCAUAAUUUGGAUUUCAUCUGUAAGUUAACGUAAAUGGUUAACAUAAAUGGUAUCUUAUGUAGUCAUGCUUUUGCAAUAUGCUUUUUCCACUUAAUAACAGAAUCUUGGGAGAACUUCUUAUAUUAAUGGAUAUAGGACAACUUCACUUCCAAACUGUUGAAUAGGGACAAUUUAUUUACAUAUUUCCAUGUUGAGAGAUAUUUGGGUUACUUUAUUUUAUAUAUUUGCAUUGCUGUUAUAAAUGAUGCUCAAUAAACAUUCUCGUAUAGCCUGUUUAUGCGUAUGUGAGGGAAGUGGAGUUUUUUGGUCUUAGGGAUUGUACCUUUCCUUUUUAGAAGCUAUGGCCCAAUUGGCCUCCAAAGUUGCUGUACCUCUUUGCACUCCCAUCAGCCUUAAGUAGCAUCAGUAUUGACAGUUUUUCCCCAAGUUGAUGAGUGAAAAAUAUAUCUCGAUUCUUGAGGUUGCACAUUUUUUUUUUCAUGUCACUUGGCUAUUUCUAGUUCUUCUUCUUUGACCUACUUGUUCACUCCUCACACCCUUGCAUCGCUGAAUUUUCCUUACUGAUGUCACGGGGCGGUCCUGACUAUUUAAUACUCUUGCCUGUGAUGGAUGUGGUGUGUGUUGUCUUCAUGCUGUAACUUGUCUUUUACAUUUGCAUCUAGUGUCUUUUAUGGUAGAGAAAGAUUUUGUUUUAAAUUUGAUGUAGCCAACAUUUAUUUAUCAUUUAUAUUACAGAUUUUGUAAUCUGUGUCUUAAGAAUGACUUUCCAACCAACC